AUCGCUUCUCGGCCUUUUGGCUAAGAUCAAGUGUAUUAUUGAAUAAGCAUAAACUAGAAUGUGAUACACAUCACAGGCAAUCCACCAAGAGAUUGCAUAGACCAAAAGAAAUUUCACCCAUUUUUAUAAUCAAGCAGAUAAAACCCAUUAUGUACGUGCUUUCAGGAGAAAUAACUAAUCCUCAAGUAAGAGCACUACAUUU
rnacentral:snRNA from 2 species